rnacentral:rRNA from 1 species
UACGUAGGGGGCUAGCGUUGUCCGGAAUCAUUGGGCGUAAAGCGCGUGUAGGCGGUUCGGUAAGUCCGCUGUGAAAGUCGGGGGCUCAACCCUCGAAAGCCGGUGGAUACUGUCGGGCUAGAGUACGGAAGAGGCGAGUGGAAUUCCUGGUGUAGCGGUGAAAUGCGCAGAUAUCAGGAGGAACACCAAGUGCGAAGGCAGCUCGCUGGGACGUUACUGACGCUGAGGAGCGAAAGCGUGGGGAGCGAACAGG